AUUUCCCUGAUAGCGGCGAGCGAAAUGGGAGUAGUUUAAAACUGUAAAAACGAGAUUGUGGGAGAGUAAUACAAGCGUCGUACUGUUAGGCGAAGCGGUGGAGUACUGCACUCUGGAUGACGAGAGUCCAGUAGCCGAAAGCAUCUCUACCUUACGCUCUGACCCAAUUACCAUGGGGCACAUGGAGUCCUGUGUGAAUCAGCAAGGAUCGCCUUACAAGACUAAG
rnacentral:ncRNA from 1 species